AGGACGAACGCUGGCGGCGUGCUUAACACAUGCAAGUCGAACGAUGAUGCCCAGCUUGCUGGGUGGAUUAGUGGCGAACGGGUGAGUAACACGUGAGUAACCUGCCCUUAACUCUGGGAUAAGCCUGGGAAACUGGGUCUAAUACUGGAUAUGACUUUUCAUCGCAUGGUGAUU
rnacentral:rRNA from 1 species